rnacentral:rRNA from 2 species
AAAAAUUUAAAUAAAUAUAUUAAAGUAGUAAUAGUUAAGUUCUUGAAAUUUAAAAAAUUUGGCGGUAUUUUAGUCUAUUCAGAGGAACCUGUUUUGUAAUCGAUAGUCCACGUUGUACCUUACUUAAAUUUAUUUUUUAGUUUAUAUAUCGUUGUUUAUAGAAUAUUUUAUAAAAAAAAUAAUUUUCUAAAAUUUUUAUAUAAAAAUAUAUCAGAUCAAGAUGUAGCUUAUAUUUAAGUUUAUAAUGGGUUACAAUAAAUUUAUUUUUGGAUAUAAAAUUUAAAUAUUUUAUUGAAAUUGGAUUUGAUAGUAAAUUUAUAUAGAUAAAUAAAUUGAUUUUAGCUCUAAAAUAUG